rnacentral:lncRNA from 1 species
AUAAUAUUACAGUGUUUUUCUGUCAAGGUCUUGUCUUCAAAUGGGUUAUGGCCUUCCCACUUAGACAUGCAUUUCAGAAGAGAUUUGGUUCUUACUAAAGUGGAGAGGUAGCAAAGUCUGAAUAUUCUACUCUCAUUCAUAAUGAUUAAGCUGUUGCUUUGCAGUUUGAAGAAAAGCAAAAUUAAAAUUAAAUCAACAAAAUAAUUGUUUUGGGCAUUUAUUGGUGACUGAUGGAUGCAUUUCUGUGGGAAUUUCCCUACCAAUGAAGGGUCCGGUUUUAUUAAGGUGGCCAGAUUUAUACCUUCCAGAGUACCAACACUGCCAUGAGU